rnacentral:rRNA from 1 species
UUUAAUGAGAGUUUGAUCCUGGCUCAGGACGAACGCUGGCGGCGUGCCUAAUACAUGCAAGUAGAACGCUGAAGGAGAAGCUUGCUUCUCUGGAUGAGUUGCGAACGGGUGAGUAACGCGUAGGUAACCUGCCUGGUAGCGGGGGAUAACUAUUGGAAACGAUAGCUAAUACCGCAUAAGAGUGGAUGUUGCAUGACAUUUGCUUAAAAGGUGCACUUGCAUCACUACCAGAUGGACCUGCGUUGUAUUAGCUAGUUGGUGGGGUAACGGCUCACCAAGGCGACGAUACAUAGCCGACCUGAGAGGGUGAUCGGCCACACUGGGACUGAGACACGGCCCAGACUCCUACGGGAGGCAGCAGUAGGGAAUCUUC